UGAGCUCGCACGCUGCUGCUAUGGCGUCAUACUCAGUGUGUAGCUGAAGCGUGACGACAUAGAGGUGGGGACAAGGAACCAAAGAGGCCAAAGAGAACAGUGGGCUGAACUCUGAUGUUUACUGGGACCCAUAGUUGUCAAUAUGACAGUAAGGGUAGUAGGGGAGGAGACUCAGCAGAGGUGGAUCCCAGGUCUGGAGGUGAGCUGACAGCAGCCUGUGGGGAGAAUGAAAAACUAGGAUGACAACACAGACACAUGCAGGUGGCCAUGGUGGACGUGGGUUUUGGAAAAGGUUCUUGCUCAGCUGCAGGAUCUCCAGGUGCCGGAGGUGCUUGAAUGUGUCCGUGCGGAUCACCUGCGGGGAGACCAGUGUCAGUGCACCUGACAAGCGUGGGAGCAGCAGGCUGCUCCAGUUCACAGCAGGUGAACGCGACUCUGCGAUCAGUAUGUGGGCCUAAGGACAAGACCUAGGGCCUCUCACAUGCUGGACAGGGACUCUGUGACUGAGGAUU
rnacentral:lncRNA from 1 species